GACGAACGCUGGCGGCGUGCUUAACACAUGCAAGUCGAACGAGAGCGUAGAGACAGCUUGCUUUUUCUACAAUCUAGUGGCAAACGGGUGAGUAACGCGUAAACAACCUGCCCUACGGAUGGGGACAACAGCUGGAAACGGCUGCUAAUACCGAAUACGUUCCGAAAGUCGCAUGACUAUCGGAAGAAAGGAUGGCCUCUAUUUAUAAGCUAUCGCCGGAGGAGGGGUUUGCGUCUGAUUAGCUAGUUGGAGGGGUAACGGCCCACCAAGGCGACGAUCAGUAGCCGGUCUGAGAGGAUGAACGGCCACAUUGGAACUGAGACACGGUCCAGACUCCUACGGGAGGCAGCAGUGGGGAAUCUUCCGCAAUGGGCGAAAGCCUGACGGAGCAACGCCGCGUGAGUGAAGACGGCCUUCGGGUUGUAAAGCUCUGUUAUACGGGACGAAUAAUCUUGUGGUUAAUACCCAGGAGAAGUGACGGUACCGGAAGAGAAAGCCACGGCUAACUACGUG
rnacentral:rRNA from 1 species